CCUACGGGGCGCAGCAGGCGCGAAAACUCUGCAAUAAGCGAAAGCUUGACAGGGUUAUUCUGAGUGAUUUCCGCUAAGGAAAUCUUUUGGCACCUCUAAAAAUGGUGCAGAAUAAGGGGUGGGCAAGCCUGGUGUCAGCCGCCGCGGUAA
rnacentral:rRNA from 1 species